rnacentral:ribozyme from 1 species
GGGGGACGAUGUCGAAUGCACAUCCCUUUCUUUUCCAUCUUCGAUAAAUAUAUCUUUCUUUCUUUCUCCUUUUUUUUUUUUUUUUUUAGAACAGAAAAAAAAAAACGCUAAAAU